CCAACAAAGACUUAUCCACCCCAGAGUGUAAUUAGUGCCGAGAAGAAAAAACCCUGCACUAGAUGAAGAAACAAAUAUAUGAAGGAAAAUAAGGUUCUGGAAACUCCUGCCCUAGGAAGGAGAUAGUCAUGACUCAUCAAAGAGAAGCUGGAAAAGCAUUUGGGGUGGAGGGGGGGGGUAGUAUUCUCCUUCCACGCACAGAUCUCAGCUCUACAAAGGCACCAAGGACUUGCAGCUUCCUUCUUGCAGGGAAAGGAACUUCCAGGCAGGGCUGCAGCAGGUGGGCCAGAGGUGUCUGACCCCCGGAUGGAAGCCCCUGGGUCAUGGGCCCCUGGGGAAGGAACUGGGCCCAGAUAUUAGCCCUGGCGGAGACUGGCACCUGUGGUGGGGCUGAAGGGGUCCUGUUUGACUCAUUCCCAAAGUGAGGGGGGCAUAUUCCCUGCUGAGGAUCAAAGUCAUGGUUGGUCCAGGUACUGAAGGGAAAGUGAAUAAUCUUUCAGGUGUGUGGCAGUGGAAGACAACUGACCCAACCUGAAAUGCACUUAACAAAUGUCAGAUGAAGUGGGGGGAGAAGGGAGGCAGUGAUGGUCUGGGGCCUGCGGCACAUUGACCUUCCAGGCAGGUGGGGCCCCUGCUCUGUCUUAUCUGCUCAGGCUGCCAUUCUUGGGGCCUGAGGUCAUUCAAGAACGGCAGGAGGGCACCAGGAAGCUGCUCUGUGGCCAGCUGGGAACACUCUUCCUUAUCCCGGAGGCCAGGGAGAAAGUCAUCGUCACAAGGACAAGUCCUCUCUGGAUGCAUCAGCCCUGGACCUAUCACACCAUGUGGCCUCUUUUUUGGGCCUCCUGGAGAAGAGGCUUUGCUUUUCUCCACCACAGCUAUUGUGGAGCCAGUCCUAAUGGGGCUGUCAGUACAUCCUAUACCUUUUACAUUUAGCUUUGCUCAGCACAGUUAGAGAAGAUGGAGGGGGAGCAGGAGGCUGUUUUGGAUAGGAUGGUCAGGGAAGGCCUCCUUGAGGAGGUGACACAGGAGCCGAGAUGUGAACAACUCAAAGCGGCCAGUUAGGUGGUCAUCCUGAGAGCCUUCCGGGCAGGGGGAACAGAUCUGCAAAGGUCCUGGAUGGGGAAAGCGUGGCUCGUCCGCGGAACCGCCAGAAAGCCUGCAGGCUGGAGCUGGAGAAGGAGCCUGGAGAUACGGCUGGAGGGAUCAUAGAUUCGCUUCUCCUGUGGGUGAGAGCAGGGAGGCAUGAAACAGCUAUCCGGAGGCACUGGUAUGGAAUCCCUUUAGGCACAGAACACAAAUCCUGUGACCUCCUGAGGGGACACAAACGGGGGCUCCCCCACCAGGGGCACCACUGACUCCCCAGCUUCUGUGCCAGACUUCAGUCAUUCACUCACCCAUCCAGACAGGUUGUGGUCGACUGCGUGGAAGAAAGCUCACCUGGACAGCACCUCUCAUCCUAAGCGUUCUUUUACAAUAUGACCUUACGCUUCUCCAUCAGGAGGCAGGGUCUAAUCCCUUCCCUUUGCGUCUGCCUGGAUUUAUGGUCUCCUUGUAACCCAAAGAACGCAGCUCAAGUGAUGCCGUGUGGCUUCCCAGGCUAUCUCGGAAAAGACCGAGUGGCUUCCACCUGGUUCUCUUGGAACACGUGCUCUGGGGGAGGCUACCUGUUAUGUCAAAAGUCCCACCACUCUGAGACCUGUAGGCUGGAGAGCUGCUCUGUCAACAGUUCCAGCUAAGCCCAGCAUUCCAGUCAUGCUGGCCAAGGGGCUGGAUAGGGGGCUAAAGAAGCCACAUUGGCUGUUGGUCUUCAAGCCCAUCGCUGCUGGAGUCACCCAACUGAGGGCCCACUAGGACCCAGACAUCAAGGACAAGGACAAGCCAUCCCAUUGUACCCUGUCCAGACUCUAGACCUACACAAGCUGCAAGCAUAAUAAAACGGUUGUUUUUCACCACUAA